GUCCAGGGUAGCCUAGGGGUCAUGGCAUCUGCCCGGUAAGCGGAAGGUCGUGGGUUCGAUUCCCAUCCCUUGACA
rnacentral:tRNA from 1 species